UGUUAAAAAAAUACAUCAAUUUAUACUAUUAAAAGCUAGUUUGACUAACAUAACAACCAAACAGUUACACAUAAUGUGUUACAUGUACCUCGUUUUCCAUACAAGAACCAAUUUUUAAAAAUACAAUUAAAUGAAAGUUUUAACA
rnacentral:pre_miRNA from 1 species